rnacentral:lncRNA from 1 species
GAACCACAUGAAAAAAAGCGAGCUACUGGGUGUACCUCCUGGGUAGUUUGGAAAUCACCUAAUAUAUAUAUGUAUAUAUUUAUAAAUAAAAGUUAAUAUAUAUAAAUUAACAUUAUUUUUUUUAACAGGAAAUGCACAAUGCUAAAAACUGCGUAGGAGAUUUUAAUACAAUAGUACUACCAAGCCUGAUGUUGGCCGCUAUUUCAAUGAAUGCAGCAGUGUGACAGCUAGCAAUCAAAAGUAACAAGAUAUCGAGGAAAUGCAGAUGGCAAUAAACUGUGUAGGAGUUCAUGAUUGCAAUAGAAUAAAAUCGACCAAGCCUGAAGUCAGCAGCCCCUUCAAUGAAUGCAGCAGUGUGACAGCCAGCAAUCAAAAGUUACAAGAUAUCGAGGAAAUGCAGAUGGCAAUAAACUGUGUAGGAGUUCAUGAUUGCAAUAGAAUAAAAUCGACCAAGCCUGAAGUCAGCAGCCCCUUCAAUGAAUGCAGCAGUGUGACAGCCAACAAUCAAAAGUUACAAAAUAUCGAGGAAAUGCAGAAGGCAAAAAACUGCGUAGGAGAUCAUUAAUACAAAAGUAUUAUAUAAACCAAACCUGAUGUUGCCAGCUCCUUUAAUGAAUGCAGCAGUGUGACAGCCAGCAAUCAAAAGUAACAAGAUAUCGAGGAAAUGCAGAAGGCAAAAAACUGCGUAGGAGAUCAUUAAUACAAUAGUAUUAUAUAAACCAAGCCUGAUGUUGGCCGCUCAUUCAAAGAAUGCAGCAGUGUGACAGCCAGCAAUCAAAAGUAACAAGAUGUCGAGGAAAUGCAGAGUGCAAUAAACUGUGUAGGAGAUUAUGAUUGCAAUAGAAUAAAAUCGACCAAGCCUGAAGUCCUUCAAUGCACGCAGCAGUGUGACAGCCAGCAAUCAAAAGUUACAAGAUAUCGAGGAAAUGCAGAAGGCAAAAAACUGCGUAGGAGAUUAUUAAUACAAUAUUAAUACAAUAGUAUUAUAUCAACCAAGCCUGAUGUCGGUAGCUUCUUCAAUGAAUGCAGCAGUGUGACAGCCAGCAAUCAAUAGUGACAAGAAUCUAGGAAAUACAGAAGACAAAGAAGCAGAUGUCAUCAAAAAAG